ACGGAGGGUGCAAGCGUUGUUCGGAAUCAUUGGGCGUAAAGGGCGUGUAGGCGGUUAAUCAAGUUAGAUGUGAAAUCCCUGGGCUCAACCCAGGAAGUGCAUCUGAGACUGAUGAACUAGAGUACAGGAGAGGAAGGUGGAAUUCCUGGUGUAGGGGUGAAAUUCGUAGAUAUCGGGAAGAACACCGGUGGCGAAGGCGGCCUUCUGGCCUGAUACUGACGCUGAGACGCGAAAGCGUGGGGAGCAAACAG
rnacentral:rRNA from 1 species